ACGCGGGCUGGGUUCAGAACGUCGUGAGACAGUUCGGUCCCUAUCCGUCGCAGGCGUAGGAAAUUUGAGAAGACCGGUCCUUAGUACGAGAGGACCGGGAUGGACGUACCUCUGGUGUACCAGUUGUUCUGCCAAGGGCAUGGCUGGGUAGCUGUGUACGGAAUGGAUAAGCGCUGAAAGCAGCUAAGCGCGAAGCCAACUUCAAGAUAAGAUUUCCCACCGCAAGGGUAAGACCCCAGAAAGACUAUCUGGUUG
rnacentral:rRNA from 1 species